rnacentral:rRNA from 1 species
UACGUAGGGGGCAAGCGUUAUCCGGAUUUACUGGGUGUAAAGGGAGCGUAGGUGGCAUGGUAAGCCAGAAGUGAAAACCCGGGGCUCAACCCCGCGGAUUGCUUUUGGAACUAUCAGGCUGGAGUGCUGGAGGGGUAAGCGGAAUUCCUAGUGUAGCGGUGAAAUGCGUAGAUAUUAGGAGGAACACCGGUGGCGAAGGCGGCUUACUGGACAGAAACUGACACUGAGGUUCGAAAGCGUGGGGAGCAAACAGG